CCCUUAGAUGUCCGGGGCUGCACGCGCGCUACACUGAAGGAAUCAGCGUGCUAAAACCAUUGUCGAAAGGCAUUGGUAAACCCAUUAAAAUCCUACGUGAUUGGGAUCGGGAAUUGCAAUUAUUUCCCUUGAACGAGGAAUUCCCAGUAAGUGUGGGUCAUAAGCUCGCGUUGAUUACGUCCCUGCCCUUUGUACACACCGCCCGUCGCUGCCCGGGACUGAGCCGUUUCGAGAAAAGCGGGGACUGCUGCUGUCGGGGCUUUCGGGCCUUGGCUUCGGUGGAACCCGCUUUAAUCGCAGUGGCUUGAACCGGGCAAAAGUCGUAACA
rnacentral:rRNA from 1 species